rnacentral:rRNA from 1 species
GAUGAACGCUGGCGGCGUGCCUAAUACAUGCAAGUCGAGCGAAGCGGGGACGGGUGAGUAACACGUAGGGAACCUCCGAUAAGAGUGGGAUAACAUCGGGAAACGGGAGCUAAACCGCCUACUUAUCGAUGGCUCUGCGGUGCAUUCGAUAGUUGGUGGGGUAACGGCUUACAAAUGCAAUGAUGCAUAGCCGACCUGAGAGGGGAAUCGGCCACAUGGGAACUGAGACACGGUCCAGACUCCUACGGGAGGCAGCAGUAGGGAAUCUUCCGCAAUGGGCGCAAGCCUGACGGAGCAACGCCGCGUGAGUGAAGAAGGUUUUCGGAUCGUAAAGCUCUGUUAUUAGAGAAGCGGUAUCUUACCAGAAAGCCACGGCUAACUACGUGCCAGCAGCCGCGGUAAUAC